rnacentral:snoRNA from 1 species
AUCUGAUGAUGAGGGCAUCUUGCAUAUUGCCUCUUGAAUCUCUCCCAAUAUUCAUAUAAACCUUCUGCAUGUAGUUGUCUGAUUCCAGAAAUAUCUUUUCUGAUU